rnacentral:rRNA from 1 species
AUGCAACGCGAAGAACCUUACCUACUCUUGACAUCCAGAGAACUUUCCAGAGAUGGAUUGGUGCCUUCGGGAACUCUGAGACAGGUGCUGCAUGGCUGUCGUCAGCUCGUGUUGUGAAAUGUUGGGUUAAGUCCCGCAACGAGCGCAACCCUUAUCCUUUGUUGCCAGCGCGUGAUGGCGGGAACUCAAAGGAGACUGCCGGUGAUAAACCGGAGGAAGGUGGGGAUGACGUCAAGUCAUCAUGGCCCUUACGAGUAGGGCUACACACGUGCUACAAUGGCGUAUACAAAGGGAAGCGACCCCGCGAGGGCAAGCGGAACUCAUAAAGUACGUCGUAGUCCGGAUUGGAGUCUGCAACUCGACUCCAUGAAGUCGGAAUCGCUAGUAAUCGUAGAUCAGAAUGCUACGGUGAAUACGUUCCCGGGCCUUGUACACACCGCCCGUCACACCAUGGGAGUGGGUUGCAAAAGAAGUAGGUAGCUUAACCUCCGGGAGGGCGCUUACCACUUUGUGAUUCAUGACUGGGGUGAAGUCGUAACAAGGUAACCGUAGGGGAACCUGC